GUAGGUAGCAAGCGUUGUCCGGGAAUUAUUGGGGCGUAAAGCGCGCGCAGGCGGUUCUUUAAGUCUGAUGUGAAAGCCCACGGGCUCAACCGUGGAGGGUCAUUGGAAACUGGAGAACUUGAGUACAGAAGAGGAAAGCGGAAUUCCACGUGUAGCGGUGAGAUGCGUAGAGAUGUGGAGGAACACCAGUGGCGAAGGCGGCUUUCUGGUCUGUAACUGACGCUGAGGCGCGAAAGCGUGGGGAGCAAACAGGAUUAGAUACCCUGGUAGUCCACGCCGUAAACGAUGAGUGCUAAGUGUUAGGGGGUUUCCGCCCCUUAGUGCUGCAGCUAACGCAUUAAGCACUCCGCCUGGGGAGUACGGCCGCAAAGGCUG
rnacentral:rRNA from 1 species